rnacentral:pre_miRNA from 1 species
UCUUCAUCCUGUAUACUCUCUCGCCGGCCAGACAAACGAGAGAGUAUGGAAAAUGAGGAGA